rnacentral:rRNA from 1 species
AGCGAACGCUGGCGGCAGGCUUAACACAUGCAAGUCGAGCGGGCAUCCUUGUGGUGUCAGCGGCAGACGGGUGAGUAACGCGUGGGAACGUGCCCUUCGGUUCGGAAUAACUCAGGGAAACUUGAGCUAAUACCGGAUACGUUCGAGAGCAGAAAGGUUUAUCUGCCGAAGGAUCGGCCCGCGUCUGAUUAGCUAGUUGGUGAGGUUACGGCUCACCAAGGCGACGAUCAGUAGCUGGUCUGAGAGGAUGAGCAGCCACACUGGGACUGAGACACGGCCCAGACUCCUACGGGAGGGAGCAGUGGGGAAUAUUGGACAAUGGGGGCAAACCUGAUCCAGCCAUGCCGCGUGAGUGAUGACGGCCUUAGGGUUGUAAAGCUCUUUUCUCCGGGACGAUAAUGACGGUACCGGAGGAAUAAGCCCCGGCUAACUUCGUG